UGCCGCUGCUGCCGGAGCUGUGUCGCGUGCUGGGACUGGCGGGCACCCGCGCCGCGCACUCCGCCGUCGCCGACUUCCUGCAGCUGCACUCGCGCGACCCGCUCGCCGCGCUCGCCGACACCUACCUCGCCGCCUUCGCGCUGGCGCCGCGUCCCGACGACUGGGCCGUGCAGGAGGUGCUGCGCCUGGGCGACGAGGCGCGCGCCGACACCGUGCGCGCCAGUGCGCUGCGGCGCCGCGAUCCG